CAAACUCUAUUCCAAGUUCAUGACUGCACCUUUUUGGUUUCUCCCUAAGAAUCAAAGCUGAUUUCAGUUAGCUUAACAUAUUCACGACACCUGAAAUAAUGUUUAGAUCCAUGUUCAAGCUGGAAUAAGCUGAAUUCAUUAAACUGGGCACACAUAGUUGAAGAUACAUCAUGAGUAGCAAGUUGAAGAUACAUUAUGGCCAAAACAAUCAUGGCCAAAACCAAGUUGAACUAAAAAUACAUCAUGAACUACAAGUCUCACAAAAUACAUUGGCAAUAGAACUAAAAAUACAUCAUGAACCACACUGCUCAUGAACUAAAAAUACAUCAUGAACUUCAUAAGGAGCAGCAAAACAAGGUUGACGUUCAAACAUGAAUGCCCAUUCUUUUCGUGUGGUUUCAAUCUACAAGUCACAAGUGUAUAGAUAUUUAAAAGAAUAAAGCAUAUAGCCCAUCCUUUUGCAGGACAUGCCGGCAAGAAAGAAUCAAGUUGGUUCUUCACUACAACUUGGGAGAUCAACCUCCAGACUGCAAAGGUGAAACACCACCAUUUUAGCAGCAUCUUAGUUGUCUACAAUACAGGCACCUGGAAUGUAAAUUCGAACAAAAUGUACCUCAAGCAGCUGGGUUUGCGGAUUGGAGCCAGAGAACGCAGUAAAAUGGAGUUGUAGCAAAGGAGGGGAAAACUUCUUAUCACAGAGAGGCAAAUCUGGCGGGCGAGUGGUUUGAUGGUGGCACGAGAUGUGUGGAGGCAGCGCGAGAUGGGUGGGGGCAUGAGCUGCUCCGCAGGCGUCG
rnacentral:lncRNA from 1 species